CCUACGGGGGGCUGCAGUCGAGAAUUUUUCACAAUGGGCGCAAGCCUGAUGGAGCGACGCCGCGUGGGGGAUGAAUGGCUUCGGCCCGUAAACCCCUGUCAUUUGCGAUCAACCGUUAUUAUUUAAAAGAUGAUAACCUGAUAGUAGCGAAAGAGGAAGGGACGGCUAACUCUGUGCCAGCAGCCGCGGUAAUACAGAGGUCCCAAGCGUUGUUCGGAUUUACUGGGCGUAAAGGGUGCGUAGGUGGCGGUGUAAGUCGGAUGUGAAAUCUCCGAGCUCAACUCGGAAACUGCAUUGGAAACUACAUUGCUCGAGGGUUGGAGGGGGGACUGGAAUACUUGGUGUAGCAGUGAAAUGCGUAGAUAUCAAGUGGAACACCAGUGGCGAAGGCGAGUCCCUGGACAACUCCUGACACUGAGGCACGAAAGCUAGGGGAGCAAACAGGAUUAGAUACCCCAGUAGUC
rnacentral:rRNA from 1 species